GACUGCGUAGCUCAGUUGGCAGAGCAUUGGGCUAGUAUUCCAAAGGUCGUAGGUUCGAUUCCCACCGUGGUCA